rnacentral:lncRNA from 1 species
GACGGAUCGCGAUAUUAAACUGUCACCGCAACCCCCUCUUGUACCUCAGAAACCCCCGAAUGUGUGUAUAAAUAGCUCAUUUCUCCUUCCUUUCGCCUUUAUGUUGCAGUUAUAGCGGGGCUCUAGCCUUCUUCCUCUGUCCUUGCCACGUGCCUUGAUACCGGUGGUUCCUAAUGACCAGGUUUUGCUUGAGGAAGGAGCAAAU